rnacentral:rRNA from 1 species
ACGGAGGGUGCAAGCGUUAAUCGGAAUCACUGGGCGUAAAGCGCGCGUAGGCCGUCUUUUAAGUCGGACGUGAAAGCCCUCGGCUCAACCGGGGAACUGCGUUCGAAACUGGGAGGCUUGAGUCCUGGAGAGGGAGGUGGAAUUCCGGGUGUAGUGGUGAAAUGCGUAGAUAUCAGGAGGAACACCGGUGGCGAAGGCGGCCUUCUGGACAGAUACUGACGCUGAGGCGCGAAAGCGUGGGGAGCAAACAG